rnacentral:rRNA from 1 species
UACGUAGGGUGCAAGCGUUAAUCGGAAUUACUGGGCGUAAAGCGUGCGCAGGCGGUCUUGCAAGACAGGGGUGAAAUCCCCGGGCUUAACCUGGGAACUGCACUUGUGACUGCAAGGCUGGAGUACGGCAGAGGGGGAUGGAAUUCCGCGUGUAGCAGUGAAAUGCGUAGAUAUGCGGAGGAACACCGAUGGCGAAGGCAAUCCCCUGGGCCUGUACUGACGCUCAUGCACGAAAGCGUGGGGAGCAAACAGG